GGGCCCAUGCAGAUUAAAUAAACAAAAAAAUAAAACCAAAUAAAAUAAAAUUCAGUCCAUUGUCCAUUUACACCCAAAAUAAACCCAAGAUCUUAGCCCAAUUACAUAAAUAAUUAAAACCCAAAUAACCUAAACCCUAGCCCAACAAGCAGCCCAAUACACCCAACAUUUUCAGCAGAGAGAAAAACAAAAAACCCUAGGUAGCCGCAAGCCUAACAGCAACCAAGUGCGCUGUCGUCGCCGCCAUUUACGCGCCACACCUCCACGUUGACUGGCCACGUACCUGCAAUUCAGCAAACAAGGAAGCAAGCAGCAAAAAGAAAGGGACUAAUAGCGAAAUGGAAGGAAAGAAAUAUUAUUAUUAUUUUUUAUAUAUCUAUUUUCCUUUUCGUUUUGGCUAUAAAAAGCCAAUUAAAAUCUAUAAUAGGGGGAAGACGCACAUAUUGUUUUAAGAAAUUACAAAAAGAAAAUGAAAAGGAAAGACUGAGUUUUUUUGUUGGAGGUGAUUUUUUAAAAGUUUUUCUUUUUUUUUCUGUUGUUCUGUUCUUUUUUUAUAUAAGUAUGAAACAAAAUAAAAAGGAGGGUGAUUUAGUUUCUUUUUCAUGUUUUCUUCUUUCUAUUUCGAUCUCUAUUUCAUGUCUUUGAAAUAAUAGUAAAAGAGGGGAGGAGUUGUUUACCUUUUGAUCGGCGGCGUCGUUGUGCUGUGUGGGAGAUGUUUGUAAACGGCGCAGAGAAAGGAAAGGAGCUAUUAAGUUUUUUCUCCUUUGCUUUCUAAUGGCCGAAUGAUUAGGGUUUUUUUAGAUUUAUGAUAAUUUUUGAAACAACACUGUUUGGACUUUAUGCCAAGGCUCAAUGGCUUAUUUUCACUUUUGGUCUUCCUGUUUUACAAUGUUUUUAAAUUACUUUUUUUAUUUCUUGUAAAUUUCGCAACGCAUUUUAUUAUUGUUUCAAUUUAGUCCAAUACUGUGCAGUGUUUUGGGAGGCUUGGGUAAAUUGCUCCUUCGUUCCUCCUCCUGUUGCGCGUGUUUUAAAUUGCUCUCUUUCUUGUUUUAUUUUUGAAUUCAUCCUUUAAAUUCUGUUUGUUUUCAACUUAAUCCUUAAUUUGUUAUUUUAAGUUUUUUUUUAUUAUAUUAUUAAUACUGUUUAUUAGUAUUAUUAUUACUAUAUUAUUAUUAGUUUUUUUAUUUAUUAUAUCAUAUAUUAUUAUACCUACAUAUAUAUAUAUGUGCAUAUGUAUGUUAAUAUAUAUAUGUUUAUUUUAAACGUUUUUAAAUACAUAUGCAUAUUAUGUAUAUAUUUUAUUAUUAUUUUAUUUUCAUAGUUUUUAUAUAUUUUAUAUACAUUUAUAUUUUAUAAUAUUUAUAUUUUCAUAUUUUAUAAUUUAUAUAUGUUUAUACAUUCUUUGUAAUAUAUAUAUGUACUUUUUAGAAUUAUCAUAAGUUUUUUGUUAUUAUUUUGUUUUGAUAUAUUUCAUGUUUUUAUAUAUGUAUACUUAUAUAUAUGCCUGUUUUAAUAUAUGCAUAUACAUGUUUUCAAAAUUUAUUUAUGUAUUAUACUUAUAUUUUGAAAAUACAUAUGUACAUAUAAUUUAAAUUAAAGUAUUUGUUACAUAUCGUAUUAACAUUUUUUUAACAUAUCUUUUAGAAAAUACAUAUUUUGGUUUUGGUAAAACAUUAAAAACAUUUUCUUUUGAUUCAAAGACUUUUAAAAUAAAAGCGAAAUUCAAAGUUCGGAAUUUUCGAGGAAAUUGAGCCCUAACGUAUUGGGUUCCGAUUUUUUUUGUUAAUCCUAAAUAACCGAGAAUAUUCUUUAUUUUACAUAAGUAUAAAAUCAUUUUCGGGAACUUAACUUAUUGCGUCCUAAUGUAUUGGGUGUAACAUAUUGCGUUCUCGAAAUGAAGAUUUUCUUAUAAAAUAAAAGCGAUAUUCAAAGUUCGGGGAUUUUGAGACAUUGUACCCUUCUUCGCAUGACUUGAACAUUUGAUUAUCCUUUUCAGAUUUCAUUAUUGGAGUUUUUUUUUUUAAAUCUUUUUAACCCUCGACACUAAGACGUUAAAUAAUUAAUUUGGUACCGAUUUUUGGACAUUACGAGGGUGCUAACCCUUCCUCGUGCGUAACUGACUUCCGAACUCGUUUUCUCAAAUUUCAUAGACCAGAAUAAUUUUUAAGGUGAGUCGAUCACACCUCAAUAAAGGAUCGGUGGCGGCUCUAAUUUUUGUUUUUUAAAGUCGAUAACUAAAGUUUUGUUUUCAAAAAAUAGUUUCAACAGCUUGACGACUCCGUUGGGGAAAAACACGAGAGUCGAGCCAAAAAUUGAUUAAUUUUUGUCUUAAUGUCGAAACUUUUUUGAGAUCCUUUUGCAUUCAUUAUUUUCUUGCUUAAUUGAUCUUUGCAUUAUACAUUGCAUGAGUUGAAUGAUUUUACCCCUCUAAGUGGGAGUGAGAAACUAGUCUUUCGUGAGGUUUUCACCUCCGUGCAGGAUAGUGGAUUGCUUUCGAGAUACAUUCGUACCUAUGUCUUCGUGAGAUUUUCAUUUCCGUGUAGCUAUAGGGAAGUGUAUCCCCCUGAACUGAACUCGAUCUGUAUGAGCCUAUAAUGGGUGAGGAUCAAGGAAUCUGCUGGUUCAGGUACCCUUACUUCAGAACCGAACCACAUAUAGAAGACCUUAGGAGCACACCCUAGGUAGAGCCACUUCAAAACCCUAGUGAUCACCCGAAUAGACGUUCUAUUUAUUCUUGCUUGCUUUUGCUUUGUACUAACCUGUUUCUUUUUUGUUAUAAUUGCAUUACAUUUUCAUCAUAAAAAAGUGGUGUUGAUUCACGUUCAGUUGCGAAAUAGAGAGCUUGUCAUAAGAAAAUGAGUUUCUUGAUAAAAUGGAAGACAAUAUGGUUGUCCGAAUAUGGUCCAAGAAAACGUGAUAAGAGAAGGAUGAUAGUUUAAUGGAGGACUACACGACUAUGGAUUCAAGAUGAAAAAGAUUAUUCGAGAGCCGCUGAACUUUCUUAAAGAGAAGCCAACGAGCAUCACGAGGAUGAGUGAGCAACGAGUUGCGGCCCGGAUCGAGCAAAAAGGAGAUAGAAGAGACAUCUUUUUGAAGAGUUCGUGAGAUUUAUCUUAACGCUCGAAGAAGAGGAUCGAAUGUCUCCGCCUAUGAGGGCAAGGCCGUAUAAAUAUCCAUUUUAUGUAAAGAGAUUUGUUUUCUAGUAAAGUUUUCUAAAUGGAAUUGAAUCAGAAUCAACGUCUCUUUAUGCAUUCAUUACAUGCAUUCGCAUUACAUGACAUUAUACGUAUUAAAGUCCACUAAAAGAGCCUAAUCGAUUAAAAUCAUUCCUCAGUUAACCUGGAAACCAACCAAUAAACUAAACACCGUUACGGUACUCGGGCGAAAUCAAGAAGUAUGGACCAAAGAUUAGAAAAGCUCGAACAAUUCCAAACAUAAAUGCAGGAUCAGCUUCAGCAGCAAAUGAAUGAGCAGCUCGAGAAGAUUCAGCAGAAUUUGAAGGAAAAAAUGAUGGAAUCUCAAGGGAAUAUGAUGGCUAAGUUGACUCAGUUGCUGACCGGAGAAAUUGAUAAAGGAAAAAACUCUGUGCUUAAUGUUGAAGAAGGAGACAGUGAGGGACCUGUCUAUCCUCCAGGCUUUACCCCUCAGCAAGUUGAGGAAUGUCCGCGUAAAUCCUCUGUCACCAUUAGGCCGCAGCAAUUUCAAGCUAGUGCUUCAAUGCCAAUGAAUUUUCAAGUUGGAUCAGGCUCUAAUCCGAGAGACAACCUUUCAAUACGGCUAUUCCUGACUUCGAUGAAACAGCGGGAAAAGAAAAAGUGAAGGAUGAGUUGCCAAAACAGCUAGAGGAAAAGUACAAAUGGCUGGAAGAGAAAUUUAAAACGAUGGAAUGUGCUGAGAGCUACUAUAGGAUUGAUGCUGAAGAAUUAAGCUUGGUUCCGGAUUUAGUACUCCCUUACAAGUUCAAAGUGCCAUAGUUUGAGAAGUAUAAUGGAACUAGUAGUCCCGAAGCCCAUAUUACUAUGUUUUGUAGGCGGAUAACUGGGUAUGUUAGUAAUGACCAGUUGUUGAUACAUUGUUUCCAGGAUAGCCUCACAGGGGCAGUGUCCAAGUGGUACAAUCAAUUAAGUCGUGCCAAGAUUAAUUCAUGGAAAGAUUUAGCACAGGCAUUCAUAAAGCAGUACAAUCAUGUAACUGACAUGGUACCUGAUAAAAUCACUCUACAAAACAUGGAAAAGAAGUCCGGUGAAAGUUUUAGGCAAUACGCACAGAGGUGGAGGGAGGUCGCCAUCCAAGUUCAGCCACCGCUCCUGGAAAGGGAAAUGACAAUGCUAUUCAUAAAUACAUUGAAAGCUCCGUUCAUCACAUAUAUGUUAGGGAGUGCCACAAAAAUAUUUUCUAACAUAAUCAUGAAUGGUGAAAUGAUUGAAAGCGCCAUAAGGAGCGGAAAGAUUGAUGCUGGAGGAAAUAAUAGAAGGCAAGCCUCAAAAGAAAAAGAAAAUGAUGUGAACAGCGUGAAUAUGUACAGUAAAUCGAUUGCUAAUCAGUAGGGUUCAUCAAGACAAGAAUCAUGUGUGAAGCAAGGUACUGAAAAACUCCAGUUCACGCUAAUUCCAAUGUCGUACAAAGAGCUGUAUCAAAGCUUAUUCGAUGUGCAUGUUGUUUCUCCUUUACAUGUGAAGCCUCCACAGCCUCCGUAUCCCAAAUGGUACAACGCAACUGCACAAUGCGAUUAUUAUGCGGGAAUUACAGGACACUCAAUAGAGAAUUGCAUUACCUUCAAAAAGUUAGUUGAAAAAUUCAUCAACAUGGGUAUUGUCAAGUUGGAUGGCUCAUUUAAUGCAGAAAAUUCGCUACCCAAUCAUGAUUGACAAUGGAGUGAAUGCAAUAUAUGAGGAGAUAUUGGGAAGUGUUCACAUCAAUGACAUAUAGGGAGACACAAAUGAAAGGGGGACCUUGUUAGAUAUCCGCCCUUAUAAAUCUGGGAGUGUUCUAAGUAAUUGAACUGCGGAAGAAAUCCCUAUAAUUUUUAGAGCUUAUUUAGAGUAAUGUUCAGAACAUUUUUGUUGUUUUUAGCCUAAAAAUGAUAGAAAUUCCUUUGUGAAAUAGGCUCAUGUCUGAACGUCGUUAUUCUAAUAAAAUACAUCUUUGCAUUCAUUUUUGAGCCAAUAUUUUUUCAUUCUUUUUGAAAUAAUUAUUUUUUCAUUCUUUUGGAUUUUCUUCCAUGUCAUUAUUUCAUUUAUAAUUAUAUUGUACAAAUAGUUAUUCAUAAAUACAUUCUUUUGUAUAUUCUUUUAUAUUGGGUCUCCAGAUAUCAAUAACAUGAGUGACGCUGCUACAGGCUCAGAAUUUUCUUUUGAGCGAAGCAUGUGUUUAGAGGGAUUUCAUGACUUUGAAGAUAACAUAGAUUGUAGCCUAUUUUCGGACUUGUUAAAGAUGGUAGAACAAGUCGAGAAACGGAUCUUACCCUACAAAGAAUCAUUGGGAUACAUGACUUCUCAUUAUAUAGGGCAUGAAGGUUAUUUGGUCGAUCUUGUCAAAAGAGUCUGACGGCCAUUGAUUCAUCUUUGUGAUCGUCAGUUACUUUACUAAAUAAAUAGAAGCUGCUUCAUAUGCCAAUGUCACAAAGUCGACAGUUAACAAAUUCGUGAAAAAUCAUAUGUCAGUAUGGGACGCCAAAAGGAUUAUAUCUGACAAUGUACUAAAUUUGAACAACAGCAUAAUAUCAAAAGUUUGCAGUUUGUUCACGAUUAAUGCCAUAUUGCCUAAAAAAAUAUGGCGCGAAAAAAAAAACUCUGCCAGGGUAAUGCCUUUCUCUUGGGCCCAUCGCGGUUUUGCCUAUUGAAGACAAAAUUCUUUCUGAGUUUUUGAAUCCAAUUCCGAUUGAAGAGGAAUGUUCAAAGUUGUCCAUCAUGGUCAAAUGAGCCAAAAGCAAAUGAUGCAAGUUCACAAAAAAGAUCCAUCCUAGAGAAUUCCUUGAGAGGAACCUGGUAUUGAAAAAGAUCCUUCCCAUACAAAAAGAACUUCAUCCCAAGCUGGGAAGGACCUUAUGUGGAAGGCCUUAUUUAGAAAAGCGUCGAUUUUGAUCAAAAAGGAUAACAAGGACAUGCAUAAUCCUAUGAGUUCAGAUUCAAUCAAAAAUAUUUCAAAAUAUAAAAAAAAACAAAAAAAAAUAGAGAGAAAAGAAGAAAGAAAAUGGAGAGGCCAAGAUGAAAACCCGCAAAGGGCGCCUUGAAACCAAAGGGGAUUUGAGUUGAAAACCCGAAAAGGGCAGCUCAAAUAUUGAUUAGAAUGGGGCAUGAGAUGAUCAGAGCAGUUCAAAUUUUGAUCAGAUUGGGGCAUAUGAUGAUCUUGAAUCAAUAAGAAAGGGUAAACAACAUCUUAGGACAUCGACAGAGUACUGUAGAUCUCCUAAACACAUGUCAAACUCAGAAAGUUUGUAUAAAGAAGUUCAAGCUGCGAUAUCUGGAGCAUCCAAUUUUUAUAUUGAAUUUGCUAUUCUUGGAAUAAUUCAUGCUUUUCCAAUAUACACAUUCCCAAUCAAUUUCUUUGUUAUCCUUAUUUACUAUUUUUUUGAUAAUCUAUUCCUUUCGAGCUAUGCUCAGAACCAAUUGUAUUCUCAUCCAUUGUUAUACCCUUUUUGUAAGUAUGUUGCAUUGGAAUAAUGAUUAAUAGACUAAUAAAACUUUCACAAGGGAAGUUUGGCAUAUUACUCUAGAAGUUUCUAAAUAAUACAGGAACCUGAAACAGAAUUAUUGUUUAGAACGCACCAUGUUUAAAGGUUGGAAAUCUGAAAAAGAAGAGUCUAAAUUAAGACUUUCUCUUUGGAUUUUGUUGUUAAAAACAUUGACUGAACAAAAUGACAAAGCUUAAAUAAACAACUAAGCAAUGAUCACCCUGACAUUGCAGUGGAGUAGAUUGAAGCACCAGUUCUUAUACCUCUGAAGAUGCAGUAGGAAGGAAUGAAGCUACUUGAAGAAGAAGAGUACCAAGGUCCAGCACGACCGAUCAAAAUUGGUUAUUUUUAAAGUCUUUACUUCAUUCCCGUUUCACGACAACAAACAAAGAGGGACAGCUGUAAUACCCAAUUUUAGCCUGGGCGCAUGCAAAUUAAAUAAAAAAAUAAAACCAAAUAAAAUAAAAUUCAGUCCAUUGUCCAUUUACACCCAAAAUAAACCCAAGAUCUUAGCCCAAUUACAUAAAUAAUUAAAACCCAAAUAACCUAAACCCUAGCCCAACAAGCAGCCCAAUACACCCAACAUUUUCAGCAGAGAAAAAAACAAAAAACCCUAGGUAGCCGCAAGCCUAACAGCAACCAAGUGUGCUGUCGUCGCCGCCAUUUACGCGCUACACCUACACGUUGACUGGCCACGUACCUGCAAUUCAGCAAAUAAGGAAGCAAACAGCAAAAAGAAAGGGACUAAUAGAAAAAUGGAAGGAAAGAAAUAUUAUUAUUAUUUAUAUAUCUAUUUUCCUUUUCGUUUUGGCUAUAAAAAGCCAAUUAAAAUCUGUAACAGGGGGAAGACCCGCAUAUUGUAUCAAGAAAUUACAAAAAGAAAAUGAAAAGGAAAGACUGAAUUUUUUUUUCAGAUCUGAUUUUUUUUAAAGUUUUUUUUUUCUGUUGUUCUGUUCUUUUUUUUAUAUAAGUAUGAAACAAAAUAAAAAGGAGGGUGAUUUAGUUUUUUUUUUUUUUGAGUUUUCUUCUUUCUGUUUCGAUCUCUAUUUCAUGUCUUUGAAAUAAUAGUAAGAGAGGGGAGGAGUUGUUUACCUUUUGAUCGGCGGCGUCGUUGUGCUGUGUGGGAGAUGUUUGUAAACGGCGCAGAGAAAGGAAAUGAGCUAUUAAGUUUUUUCUCCUUUGCUUUCUAAUGGCCGAAUGAUUAAGGUUUUUUUAGAUUUAUGAUAAUUUUUAAAACAACACCGUUUGGACUUUAUGCCAAGGCUCAAUGGCUUAUUUGCACUUUUGGUCCUCCUGUUUUACAAUGUUUUUAAAUUACUUUUUUUAUUUCUUGUAAAUUUCGCAACGCAUUUUAUUAUUGUUUCAAUUUAGUCCAAUGUUGUGCAGUGUUUUGGGAGGCUUGGGUAAAUUGCUCCUUCGGUCCUCCUCCUGUUGCG
rnacentral:lncRNA from 1 species